AUUGAACGCUGGCGGCAGGCCUAACACAUGCAAGUCGAACGAGUGGCGGACGGGUGAGUAAUGUCUGGGAAACUGCCUGAUGGAGGGGGAUAACUACUGGAAACGGUAGCUAAUACCGCAUACCCUCGGAUGUGCCCAGAUGGGAUUAGCUAGUGGGUGGGGUAAAGGCUCACCUAGGCGACGAUCCCUAGCUGGUCUGAGAGGAUGACCGGCAGAGCUGGAACUGAGGGACGGUCAAGACUCCUAGGGGAGGCAGCAGGGGGGAAGAUUGCACAAUGGGCGCAAGCCUGAUGCAGCCAUGCAGCGUGUAUGAAGAAGGCCUUCGGGUUGUAAAGUACUUUCAGCGGGGAGGCGUUACCCGCAGAAGAAGCACCGGCUAACUACGUGCCAGCAGCCGCGGUAAUUC
rnacentral:rRNA from 1 species